CCUACGGGAGGCAGCAGUGGGGAAUAUUGGACAAUGGGCGAAAGCCUGAUCCAGCAAUGCCGCGUGAGUGAUGAAGGCCUUAGGGUUGUAAAGCUCUUUUACCCGGGAUGAUAAUGACAGACCGGGAGAAUACGCUCCGGCUAACCCG
rnacentral:rRNA from 1 species